GACGAACGCUGGCGGCGUGCUUAACACAUGCAAGUCGAACGGAAAGGCCCUGCUUUUGUGGGGUGCUCGAGUGGCGAACGGGUGAGUAACACGUGAGUAACCUGCCCUUGACUUUGGGAUAACUUCAGGAAACUGGGGCUAAUACCGGAUAGGAGCUCCUGCUGCAUGGUGGGGGUUGGAAAGUUUCGGCGGUUGGGGAUGGACUCGCGGCUUAUCAGCUUGUUGGUGGGGUAGUGGCUUACCAAGGCUUUGACGGGUAGCCGGCCUGAGAGGGUGACCGGCCACAUUGGGACUGAGAUACGGCCCAGACGCCUACGGGAGGCAGCAGUGGGGAAUAUUGCACAAUGGGCGGAAGCCUGAUGCAGCAACGCCGCGUGCGGGAUGACGGCCUUCGGGUUGUAAACCGCUUUCGCCUGUGACGAAGCGUGAGUGACGGUAUGGGUAAAGAAGCACCGGCUAACUACGUG
rnacentral:rRNA from 1 species